ACUCAAAUGAAUUGACGGGGGCCCGCACAAGCAGUGGAUUAUGUGGUUUAAUUCGAAGCAACGCGAAGAACCUUACCAGGGCUUGACAUCCAACUAACGAGGCAGAGAUGCAUUAGGCGCCCUUCGGGGAAAGUUGAGACAGGUGGUGCAUGGUUGUCGUCAGCUCGUGUCGUGAGAUGUUGGGUUAAGUCCCGCAACGAGCGCAACCCUUAUUGCUAGUUGCUACGCAAGAGCACUCUAGCGAGACUGCCGUUGACAAAACGGAGGAAGGCGGGGACGAGGUCAAAUCAUCAUGCCCCUUAUGUCCUGGGCUACACACGUAAUACAAUGGCGCAUAACAGAGGGAAGCAAGACCGCGAGGUGGAGCAAAUCCCAAAAAGGCGUCCCAGUUCGGAUCGCAGGCUGAAACCCGCCUGCGUGAAGCCGGAAUUGCUAGUAAUCGCGGAUCAGCAUGCCGCGGUGAAUACGUUCCCGGGCCUUGCACACACCGCCCGU
rnacentral:rRNA from 1 species